rnacentral:tRNA from 1 species
AAGUAAUGAAGUAAAAUUUACAUUUAGUUUCGACCUAAAAUUAGAGUUUAAUCUCCUUACUUA